rnacentral:rRNA from 1 species
AGUGAACGCUGGCGGUAGGCCUAACACAUGCAAGUCGAACGGCAGCACAGUAAGAGCUUGCUCUUACGGGUGGCGAGUGGCGGACGGGUGAGGAAUACAUCGGAAUCUACUUUUUCGUGGGGGAUAACGUAGGGAAACUUACGCUAAUACCGCAUACGACCUACGGGUGAAAGCAGGGGAUCUUCGGACCUUGCGCGAUUGAAUGAGCCGAUGUCGGAUUAGCUAGUUGGCGGGGUAAAGGCCCACCAAGGCGACGAUCCGUAGCUGGUCUGAGAGGAUGAUCAGCCACACUGGAACUGAGACACGGUCCAGACUCCUACGGGGGGCAGCAGUGGGGAAUAGUAGACAAUGGGCGCAAGCCUGAUCCAACCAUACCGCGUGGGUGAAGAAGGCCUUCGGGUUGUGAAGCCCUUUUGUUGGGAAAGAAAAGCAGCAGGUUAAUACCCCGCUGUUCUGACGGUACCCAAAGAAUAAGCACCGGCUAACUUCGUG